GCUCGGCGAACAGAACCACAACAAGCACCCGACCUACAAAUCUUCUCCCAAACAUUUCACUUUGGUAUUUUUUAGGUGAUAGAGCAAGGAGUCAUGACAUUGUUCAUCUUAAUGAGAUGUAUUGACGAAACUGAACAAAUGUGGAGGAUAAAACCCAGAUCCAGCUGGAUUGCAUCCAUGAAUUUUACAAGUGUAGGGCAGAGAGAGCAAAGGCACUACUGGACAGUAAUUGAAUAAUUAAUCUGGGAAAAGAAUAGUGCCUGAGGACUGAAAAAACAGAUGAUAUAUCCCUUUAUUAAAGAAGGAAGAGAGACAAUAUAGACCUGUCAGUUUAACAAUGAUGACUGGAAAAAAAAUGGAGUCUGUCCUAAAGGAAAGAAGAUGAGAAAUCUCAAAACAAGUGUAAGGAUGAAUAAUAUGUUGAUUUUAAAAAGGGAAAUCAAGCUUUUUUUUUCAAUUCUUUUGGGUGAGUGACCCAACAUACUUGGAUGGUAUGCAAUAGUAGUAAGUUAUCUGAUUAUUGAGGGAGGGAGCCGGGAGUAAGCUAUCUCCAGGAUCGAUUCAAUCCAAACAAAUAUGUGUGAUUAGUUUUAAAAAAACUGAUACCAGCCAACAAAAGAUGGGCAGUAGGCAGGUGGCAGUUCCAGCUAACUAUUGCAAUUACAAAAUUAUAAGGAUGGGUCACUGAGAUUUUUGGAAAAUGAGCACUAAAAGACUGAAAUACAGGUGGUUCUCCAUUAACAUGGUAGGUGCAUUCCUACAUGACACAGUGCUGUAGAAAUCCGCACAAUAUAACAAAUGGGGCCAAUGGGGAAAAACAGGGUUAAGGCAAAUCACCAAAAAUUCCAGUAAGAAUAGAAACAAAAAUAGUAGUUAGCCACUAAGUAAAUCUUUAUAUCAUAUAGUGUAAUGAAGUAAUACAGUAAAUGUAACAGUUUAGCACUGUAAUAACUGACUACAUCACAUUACCUUUUAUGAAGGUCUUCACCAGAAAGCGCAUGAACUGACUGAUCACGUGAUGCUGAAGUGGAAGUCCAGUCCUCCACUAGAAACUUCUCCAGUUUGAACUAAAGUUCCUUCUAACUGUUGUGACAAUACUGUGCCUUUAACAAGCUUAUGUCACCCUUGGUUUUUUUGGACAGGUCGUAAAAUACACAAACUCCAAACAGUCUGUGUUGGAUUGGUUUUAGGACCAGUAUGCUUAUAGCUAACAUAUCCUGUCUCAGGAAAAGGCUUUUGAGUUUAAACAAAAACACUUAUACAAUGAAAGCGGAGUGGCCAGUGCUCCCAGCUCAGCUUUUCCUCUGGUUUGGUUUGUUUUAGCACAGUAGUGUUUUUUUGAAGCUGCUGGAUCCAAAGAAGCAGGUCCAUGCUGGUACUCUCUCUCUCUGACCUGUCUCCUGUCAAACUGUGUUUGUUUGAUUUUACCUUUUGUACUAAAGGGUGUUUAUGAGAUUGUUGCAAGUAUUGGAACAGCAUCAUUAAGUUGGGAUGAUCUGUUGGGUUUUCAGAUAGGUUGUUAUUCUGUAUUCUGUUUUCUUUUGUUCGUAUUUCAUUCGGUAAUCUUGUAAAUAAAUUGUUUUAUUUAAAACUACUUGGUUUGACCAACUGUAUCCCUCCUGGAAUAUCCAUGUUAUACCUGCUUAAAACAACUAGCAAAGUUAGGGUCUGGGCCACCUUCUUGAAAUGGUUUGAGGGAUCUAGCCUGGUCCAUAACAAUGUAGAUUACAAUUUUCAAGUUUCAAGGCAUGCAGAGCUGAUUUAGCUGAACACACUGAAUUUGCACUUUGCAGACAUAGGAUCCUGAGGCUGGGUUUUGCUGUUCAAGUAGUGCCGGGGGUGGAAUUGCAUAAUAUAAAAAAAAGGUCCACAAUUCACUAAUUGGAUUAGAGCCAAAUCCUGUGUAAUGAAUGGGUGUUCUAGGAGAACUACCUGCACUUAUUUACCAGGAUUACAUAUGGUCACAUUUUGUCAGUCAUUCUACAUUUUGAGAUCAACUUCCAAUGAACUAUUUAGCAGGAUUAUUGCUGAAAUAAGACACGUUUUGUUGAAGCUUUGUCUUGAAAUCAUCAGGAAAUUUUGCAAGAAUGCAAAUUUAAGGGGAAAAUCAACGGUUAGCAUUGCUGCCUCACAGUGCCAGAGACCCAGGUUCAAUUCCCGCCUCAGGCGACUGACUGUGUGGAGUUUGCAUGUGCCUCCCGUGUCUGCGUGGGUUUCCUCCGGGUGCUCCGGUUUCCUCCCACAGUCCAAAGAUGUGCAGGUUAGGUGAAUUGGCCAUGCUAAAUUGCCCGUAGCGUUAGGUGAAGGGGUAAAUAUAGGGGAAUGGGUCUGGGUGGGUUGUGCUUCGGCAGGUCGGUGUGGACUUGUUGGGCAGAAAGGGCCUGUUUCCACACUGUAGGUAAUCUAAUUUCAUCUAAUCUAAUGAGAAGAUAGUGCAGAUGGAUUGAGAAAUUAGCUAUUUUGCUCUUAAUGGAUUGUGUAGGAGUGGGCCUUAUUUUGCUGCAACGUCAAUUUGAAAUUUAUCUAACUGCUCUUAUUUAUAUAGAAUCUCUCUCCAAAAUUUAUGCUCUGUAACAAAAAUCUAAGAGCUUGACCUAUUAGUUUAAAAUUCAUCCACAUAAAAGUUAAAUACAAUAUUAUAACAAAUGUUUUGUCAAGAGAAAGUGAGAAUUAAAUGAAAUGCCACAAUCAAAAUGGGCUUGUGUAGAAAGAUCAUCAUGAAACCUCUUACAUUUAAUUAUGUCUGUCUGUGAUAAAAAGGAAUUUUGAGAGGAAAUAUUUCUUUUAUUUCAGGAGAGGUGUGAAAAUGGUUUGUUAUUAUUAUUAGGGAACUUGGAAUUUAAAGUAGAGGUAAAAUAAUCUGGUUUUUGUUCAGUGAUGGUAACUUGUUUGUAAAGAGGUAAGAAAUUCAUUAGACUAAAGACAGCAAUUCCAUAAAAUCACAUGAUGCAAGUGCCUCACAGGAUGGUGUUAAUUGAUCGUGUGCUUACAAUACUGCAUUUUACGGCAUACAGAAAAAUAUGAUCAGGCCCACUUAUAUUUUGAGUUUAUUUCAGCAAAUUAAGUCUUCAGUUCAAAAAGUAGUUUCAUCCCAGCAAAUGAGUGACAUUUAGAAACGGUAGACUCUGGAGAGGGGAGUUUGUACACCUUCCGAACUGAGAGACGGCUCCUGGCUGUCAGAACAGAAACGACAAUGCAGACCCUUCAAAUUGGAAAGAAAACUCAAAACCAUCAAAACUGGACAGAGUUUCUUACGUAAAAACUAAUCAUUCCCAGUGAAAUAGCACUUGCAUCUGUAAAGGAUAUUGCACAUUUAACAAGGUUAAAUUUUUCUUUUUGUCUGCUACAUAAAGACAUGUCUAAACUGCCUCAUGUAUAUAGUUGUUUACUUUUUGAGAAAUAAUGACAUGCCACUUGGAACUUCAUGCCUAAUCUGUACCUGAACUCUGCUAAUUCACCAUCAUUCCCCUGAUAACAUCACCCAAUAAAGGUCUAAUUGACAUAUGUA